rnacentral:lncRNA from 1 species
UCUUCAUUGCCCAAAGUGAUAGCUUCUUCAUCAAAAAUUGGUGCAGAAAUGCUUCCCAAACAACCCGAGGCCAUGUACAGAAACUUUUUUAUUUUUUGAUGGUUAACUUUUUGUGAUUUUGCAGUUGAAAAUUUUUAUGAAUUCAGGUACUUCAAGGAAUAUAAAAGCUCUGAUAUCACUUAGCUUCAUGUCCUUUUUUGGUGCUUGCCCUGUGUGCGUUUAGAGAAACAUGAAGUGAAAAAUUUGGAGAGAAAUCCAACAAUGAAGAUGGAUAAGUUGCAAGAUUUUUAAUAUGUUAUUUCUAAUAAAUGGAACCCAUAAUAACGCAUAAAUACUCCAACAGAAGAAAAUGUACCAUUAGAAUCUUCAGCAAUGAACUACUUGAAAAUUUAUUUAUGAGAAAGGCUAGCAAAUUCAUCUGGCCCCUCUUGGUUCUCUCUCUUUACUUAACAUUUUACAACUUCUCAAAAAGCCAAAUCUGUUAUAUGAGAAGCUAAUCAAUAUCUAUUUAUGAUGCAAAGAUGAAAUAUACAGUUCAAUGCAAUUUGAGCAUAGUUUUUCUUAAUGAUGUUAACUGUAGUACUAUUUCUAUGAUUACUGUAAUCUCUAUCAGGAGUAUCAACAAUCUGAUUUGUUCGAAACAGAGAAAAAUAGUUUACCAAAAUGAAGGGAAGUAUUCAACCGUUGCAACUCAGAGUAUGUAUUGAUCAACAAGCAGAACAACUGUUUGUCUCCUUUUGUAUAUCUUAAACCCAACUUCUCUUAUCCCAGAGGAAUAACAUGGAGCAACGUCAC